UACGAAGGGUGCAAGCGUUCCUCGGGAUUACUGGGCGUAAAGCGUGCGUAGGCGGUUUUUUAAGUCCGUUGUGAAAGCCCUGGGCUCAACCUGGGAAUUGCAGUGGAUACUGGCGAGCUAGAGUGCGGUAGAGGAUGGUGGAAUUCUCGGUGUAGAGGUGAAAUUCGUAGAUAUCGGGAGGAACACCGGUGGCGAAGGCGGCCAACUGGACGAAGACUGACGCUGAGACACGAAAGCGUGGGGAGCAAACAGG
rnacentral:rRNA from 1 species